rnacentral:rRNA from 1 species
AGAACGAACGCUGGCGGCAUGCCUAACACAUGCAAGUCGAACGAAUGCCCUUCGGGGUGUUAGUGGCGCACGGGUGCGUAACGCGUGGGAAUCUGCCUUUAGGUUCGGAAUAACAGUGAGAAAUUGCUGCUAAUACCGGAUGAUGACGUUAAGUCCAAAGUAUUUAUCGCCUAGAGAUGACGCCCGCGUUGGAUUAGGUAGUUGGGUAGGGGUAAACGGCCUACCAAGCCGACGAUCCAUAGCUGGUCUGAGAGAUGAUCAGCCACACGUGGGACUGAGACACGGCCCAGACCUCCGUACGGGAGCAGCGAGGUAGGGAAUAGUGGAC